UCUCUGGUGGCUCAGAUGGUAAAGAAUCUGCCUUCAAUGCAGAAGACCUGGGUUCAACCCCUAGGUAGGGAA
rnacentral:tRNA from 1 species